rnacentral:rRNA from 1 species
CCUACGGGAGGCAGCAGUGGGGAAUAUUGGACAAUGGGCGAAAGCCUGAUCCAGCCAUGCCGCGUGUGUGAAGAAGGCCUUCGGGUUGUAAAGCACUUUCAGUGUGGAAGAAAGCCUUGGGGCUAAUACCCUCGAGGAAGGACAUCACCCACAGAAGAAGCACCGGCUAACUCCGUGCCAGCAGCCGCGGUAAUACGGAGGGUGCGAGCGUUAAUCGGAAUUACUGGGCGUAAAGCGCGCGUAGCGGUCUGAUAAGCCGGUUGUGAAAGCCCCGGGCUCAACCUGGGAACGGCAUCCGGAACUGUCAGGCUAGAGUGCAGGAGAGGAAGGUAGAAUUCCCGGUGUAGCGGUGAAAUGCGUAGAGAUCGGGAGGAAUACCAGUGGCGAAGGCGGCCUUCUGGACUGACACUGACGCUGAGGUGCGAAAGCGUGGGUAGCAAACAGGAUUAGAUACCCUAGUAGUC